GUUGUCUCAUUGACACCCAUUCCACUACUUCCCUACUCGAGCUAUAAUAAGAUUACAGUUGAUAAUUAAAGUAAGAUUUUGUACUUGAUUUUUAAAUCCUUAUCAAGUUUCAAAAGAGUAAAUAAACAACCAUAUGAUUUUUACUACUAAAUAUGUAUGAAUAAAGGAGAUGUGGGAUAUACAUAUAUUGGACAGCAACCAAACAAAAAUAACUAAGACACUUUGUAAAAUUUCAUUUUUAAAAUAAGUUCUCACAUGUCUCACUGAAUAGUUUUUUGUUUUCAGAAAUAACAGAUAUUUGUCACAAAGAAGAUUUACCAUGUACUAGGAGAAACAUAUGAGUUGUGUUGCCAUCAGGUGUUGUUUGCAAAAUAAGGGAACAGUUCCAAGCUGAACAAUUAACAAACUUUAAAUAGCCCUAAUGACCACAC
rnacentral:lncRNA from 1 species